CCUACGGGAGGCAGCAGUGGGGAAUAUUGGGCAAUGGGCGCAAGCCUGACCCAGCAACGCCGCGUGAAGGAAGAAGGCUUUCGGGUUGUAAACUUCUUUUGUUAGGGAAGAGUAGAAGACGGUACCUGGCGAAUGAGCCACGGCUAACUACGUGCCAGCAGCCGGGGUAAUACGUAGGUGGCACGCGUUGUCCGGAUUGACUGGGUGUAAAGGGCGUGUAGCCGGGUUGACAAGUCAGAUGUGAAAUCCUGCGGCUUAACCGCAGAACUGCAUUUGAAACUGUUGAUCUUGAGUAUGGGAGAGGUAGAUGGAAUUCUUAGUGUAGCGGUGAAAUGCGUAGAGAUUAGGAGGAACACCAGUGGCGAAGGCGGGCUGCUGGACAGCAACUGACGGUGAGGCGCGAAAGCGUGGGGAGCAAACAGGAUUAGAUACCCGAGUAGUC
rnacentral:rRNA from 1 species